rnacentral:tRNA from 1 species
GGUUUCGUGGUGUAGUUGGUUAUCACGUCAGUCUAACAGCUCGAGAACGUCACACGACGUCCUCACUGCACACUGAAGGUCUCCAGUUCGAACCUGGACGAAAUCA